rnacentral:lncRNA from 1 species
GUCCGUAGGGGAGUCUUGAUGCCCGACACCUUAUGCCAACUGGUGUGAGAGUUGUCGACUAACUGCUCGUUACACGGAGAAAUCACCACAAGAGUAAAAGUGCACAAUUUAUAUAUCUUUUAUGAUAAAAAAAACUCUGUAUUAACCUUGAAAAAGACAAUAGUGUGAAAGCCGUCGUUGUAAAAAUUUGAGUAAACUGGAAUAUUACAGAUAAAGCCCGUGAGGUACUAAAGUAAACAUCCACAACUC